rnacentral:rRNA from 1 species
GAUGAACGCUGACGGCGUGCCUAAUACAUGCAAGUCGAGCGAACGGGCGAGAAGCUUGCUUCUCUGAUGUUAGCGGCGGACGGGUGAGUAACACGUGGAUAACCUACCUAUAAGACUGGUAUAACUUCGGGAAACCGGAGCUAAUACCGGAUAAUAUUUUGAACCGCAUGGUGCAAAAGUGAAAGACGGUCUUUCUGGCACUUAUAGAUGGAUCCGCGCUGCUUUAGAUGGUUGGUAAGGUAACGGCUUAUCAAGGCUACGAUGCAUAGCCGAACUGAGAGAGUGAUCGGCCACACUGGAACGGAGCCACGGUCAAGGCUACUAAGGGAGGCCGCAGUAGGGAAUCUUCCGCAAUGGGCGAAAGCCUGGCGGAGCAACGCCGCGUGAGUGACGAAGGUCUUCGGUUCGUAAAACUCUCUUAUUAGGGAAGAACAUAUGUGUAAGUAACUGUGCCCAUCUUGACGGUACCUAAUCAGAAAGCCACGGCUAACUACGUG